UACGAAGGGUGCAAGCGUUACUCGGAAUUACUGGGCGUAAAGCGUGCGUAGGUGGUGAGUUAAGUCUGUCGUGAAAGCCCCGGGCCUCAACCUGGGAAUGGCGAUGGAUACUGGCUCGCUAGAGUGCGGUAGAGGAGAGUGGAAUUCCCGGUGUAGCAGUGAAAUGCGUAGAGAUCGGGAGGAACAUCAGUUGCGAAGGCGGCUCUCUGGACCAGCACUGACACUGAGGCACGAAAGCGUGGGGAGCAAACAGG
rnacentral:rRNA from 1 species